UACGGAGGAUGCGAGCGUUAUCCGGAUUUAUUGGGUUUAAAGGGAGCGUAGACGGGUCCUUAAGUCAGUUGUGAAAGUUUGCGGCUCAACCGUAAAAUUGCAGUUGAUACUGGGGACCUGGAGUGCGGCAGAGGCAGGCGGAAUUCGUGGUGUAGCGGUGAAAUGCUUAGAUAUCACGAAGAACUCCGAUUGCGAAGGCAGCUUGCUGGACCGUAACUGACGUUGAUGCCCGAAAGUGCGGGUAUCAAACAGG
rnacentral:rRNA from 1 species